ACUCCUACGGGAGGCAGCAGUGGGAAUAUUGGACAAUGGGGGCAACCCUGAUCCAGCCAUGCCGCGUGUGUGAAGAAGGCCUUUUUGGUUGUAAAGCACUUUAAGCAGGGAGGAGAGGCUAAUGGUUAAUACCCAUUAGAUUAGACGUUACCUGCAGAAUAAGCACCGGCUAACUCUGUGCCAGCAGCCGCGGUAAUACAGAGGGUGCGAGCGUUAAUCGGAAUUACUGGGCGUAAAGCGAGUGUAGGUGGCUCAUUAAGUCACAUGUGAAAUCCCCGGGCUUAACCUGGGAACUGCAUGUGAUACUGGUGGUGCUAGAAUAUGUGAGAGGGAAGUAGAAUUCCAGGUGUAGCGGUGAAAUGCGUAGAGAUCUGGAGGAAUACCGAUGGCGAAGGCAGCUUCCUGGCAUAAUAUUGACACUGAGAUUCGAAAGCGUGGGUAGCAAACAGGAUUAGAUACCCUGGUAGACAUCA
rnacentral:rRNA from 1 species